UGUCAUCCCCGCAUUAUCCAUAGGGAUAUCAAGUCAUCAAACAUCCUUCUUGAUAACAAUUUUGAAGCACGGGUUUCAGAUUUUGGGCUUGCAAAGAUUGCACUGGAACUGGAUUCAAAUACACAUGUAACAACACGCGUGAUGGGAACCUUUGGGUAUAUGGCCCCUGAGUAUGCAACAAGUGGCAAGUUGACCGAAAAAUCUGAUGUUUAUUCUUUUGGAGUUGUGCUUUUAGAGCUAAUUACAGGCCGUAAGCCUGUUGAUGCCUCUCAGCCAUUGGGUGAUGAAAGCCUAGUUGAAUGGGCUCGACCAUUGCUUGCUGAAGCACUUGAUAAUGAAGAUUUUGAAGCACUACUUGAUCCAAGGCUGGAGAAGAACUAUGUAGCUAGAGAAAUGUUUCGAAUGAUUGAGGCAGCUGCAGCUUGUGUGCGUCAUUCAGCUGCAAAAAGGCCACGAAUGAGUCAGGUGGUGAGAGCUUUGGGCUCCUUAGACGAGUUGUCAGAUCUAUCUAAUGGAAUGAAACCUGGCCAAAGUGAAAUCUU
rnacentral:misc_RNA from 1 species